GGCUGGUCCGAUGGUAGUGGGCUAUCAGAACUUAUUAAUCUUAAGUGUCACUAAAGAUGGUAUACAACCCCCCACUGAUAAAUUUGACUGGCUUAAA
rnacentral:Y_RNA from 1 species